UACAGAGGUGGCAAACGUUGUCCGGAUUUAUUGGGCGUAAAGGGCAUGUAGGUGGUUUUGUAAGUCAAAGGUGAAAUGGCCCGGCUCAACCAGGUCAUUGCCUUUGAAACUGCAGGACUUGAGUACGGAAGAGGAAAGCGGAAUUCCCAGUGUAGCGGUGAAAUGCGUAGAUAUAGGGAGGAACACCAGUGGCGAAGGCGGCUAUCUGGUCCGAAACUGACACUGAGGUGCGAAAGCGAGGGGAGCAAACGGG
rnacentral:rRNA from 1 species